rfam:Nicotiana attenuata strain TT chromosome 12, whole genome shotgun sequence.
UGGACAGAUUAUUGUAUUCGACUGUAUUCACGGCGUGAAACAUGGGAUUACACUAUUUUUAAAACGGAAAGUGAAUCAAUUAACACAAUAGACUCCU